GCUGGAGUUGACAGUGUGUGAGAUGUUGUAUGCUAGAAAGACAGCACUACAUUUGACUGUACCAAGUACUCGUAUGUCUUAACUUUGUGUACAAUUGUCCACAUUCAGAGUAAUAAAUGUUAUGUUCAAGUGUUACUGUUGAAUCACAGAUUUAUUUUAUUUGGCUUGCUCCUUCCACUACAGUAGAGAGCACCAAGUAUCAAGUGAAACUUAGUAUUUGAAGUUGUGUUGCUCCAAAGCUAAACAUGAAGCAGCUUGGAAUUUAUGAAAAACUUCAUUAUAUCUCAUGUUACAUGAAUUCUGAGAACAUCUAUCAUGAAUUAAUAAGAAUUCAUUUAGUAAAUAUGGAAAACAACUAAUAAAAACUAUGA